AUUGAACGCUGGCGGCAUGCCUUACACAUGCAAGUCGAACGGCAGCACGGGUGCUUGCACCUGGUGGCGAGUGGCGAACGGGUGAGUAAUACAUCGGAACAUGUCCUGUAGUGGGGGAUAGCCCGGCGAAAGCCGGAUUAAUACCGCAUACGAUCUACGGAUGAAAGCGGGGGACCUUCGGGCCUCGCGCUAUAGGGUUGGCCGAUGGCUGAUUAGCUAGUUGGUGGGGUAAAGGCCUACCAAGGCGACGAUCAGUAGCUGGUCUGAGAGGACGGCCAGCCACACUGGGACUGAGACACGGCCCAGACUCCUACGGGAGGCAGCAGUGGGGAAUUUUGGACAAUGGGCGAAAGCCUGAUCCAGCAAUGCCGCGUGUGUGAAGUAGGCCUUCGGGUUGUAAAGCACUUUUGUCCGGAAAGAAAUCCUUGGCCCUAAUACGGUCGGGGGAUGACGGUACCGGAAGAAUAAGCACCGGCUAACUACGUG
rnacentral:rRNA from 1 species